GCGCGUAAAUUGCCCGAAUCCUGACACAGGGAGGUAGUGACAAGAAAUAACAAUACAGGGCUACUUUAGUCUUGUAAUUGGAAUGAGUACAAUUUACAUCUCUUCACGAGGAUCAAUUGGAGGGCAAGUCUGGUGCCAGCAGCCGCGGUAAUUCCAGCUCCAAUAGCGUAUAUUAAAGUUGUUGCAGUUAAAACGCUCGUAGUCGGAUUUCGGGGCCUGCCUGCCGGUCUGCCGAUGGGUAUGCACUGGCAGGCGCGUCCUUCCUUCCGGAGACUGUCCCUACUCUUAACUGAGCGGGGUCGGGAGACGGAUCGUUUACUUUGAAAAAAUCAGAGUGUUUCAAGCAGGCAGCUCGCUCUUGCAUGGAUUAGCAUGGGAUAAUGAAAUAGGACUUUGGUGCUAUUUUGUUGGUUUCGAACACCGAAGUAACGAUUAACAGGGACAGUCAGGGGCACUCGUAUUCC
rnacentral:rRNA from 1 species